rnacentral:rRNA from 1 species
AGAGUUUGAUCCUGGCUCAGGAUGAACGCUGGCGGCGUGCUUAACACAUGCAAGUCGAACGAAGCAUAUGCGCAGAUUUCUUCGGAUUGAAGCGCGUAUGACUGAGUGGCGGACGGGUGAGUAACGCGUGGGGAACCUGCCUUUCACAGGGGGACAACAGCUGGAAACGGCUGCUAAUACCGCAUAACCCGCUAGGGCCGCAUGGCCUGGACGGAAAAGGAGCAAUCCGGUGAAAGAUGGACCCGCGUCUGAUUAGCUAGUUGGUGAGGUAACGGCCCACCAAGGCGACGAUCAGUAGCCGAACUGAGAGGUUGACCGGCCACAUUGGGACUGAGACACGGCCCAAACUCCUACGGGAGGCAGCAGUGGGGAAUAUUGCACAAUGGGGGAAACCCUGAUGCAGCGACGCCGCGUGAGUGAAGAAGUAUUUCGGUAUGUAAAGCUCUAUCAGCAGGGAAGAAAAUGACGGUACCUGACUAAGAAGCCCCGGCUAACUACGUGCCAGCAGCCGCGGUAAUACGUAGGGG